GAGGGUAUAGCUCAAGUGGUAGAGCGCAUGCUUAGCAUGCAUAAGGUCCUGGGUUCAAUCCCUAGUACCUCUA
rfam:Camelus ferus unplaced genomic scaffold scaffold1058, whole genome shotgun sequence.